UUAUCAGCUUUCUCAGCCACUCACACCUUCCACAGAGCGCUGAGGUCUUUCUGCUGGACUCCAGUGAUCUUGGAGCAGACCUUAACAAUGUUAGACAGACACACAACCGGCCACACA